CUUAGAUAUUAAGUUGAUUCACGCCGGAUAAAAGAAAAUGAAUUUAUUUUUAAUUCCAACAAAAAUGAUUUACAAAAAUAUUUGUAAAUUUAGUUAUUGAAUUUAUAUGCAUUGCAUAUUUAUUUAAUUUAGCAAUCUUUCACGAGCUAUUUUUUUUUCGAACCCUGAAGUAUUAUUACAGUCCCGAUAUUUUAUGUUCCUAAUAGCCACCCUAUAUCAUGAUUAUUUUUUUUCAUACAUGUCACAAUCAAAUCAUAUCUUAUCAAAUUUUCCACUUUCUUUCCUCCCACCAUACCCCCUUCUCCUACUAAUCCGACAGCCAAAUCUCUCUUUUGUUUCCACUUUCUUUUGUUUUAUGCUGUCAAAUUCCACCUAACAAAUCAGCCAAGUUCUCCUUCACUCACUUAAUCCACCAAAUUAUUUCCAUCGGCCCCAAGCUCAUUUCACCAGAAAUCAAGUAUUGAGCAAACAAGCAGAAAUCAAAAUACCAACUGAAAUCCUCGCCAAGGCUUUGAGCAUCAGGAGGACUAGCACUGCUAUUCCGAUUCAGAGAUAAGGUUAAACGACAGGCUUUGCCUAUACAGGUUAAUGGCUGGUGAUGACGGGGCAGAGCUGAGGCUAGGGUUCAACUCCGUAUUUUGUCUUCCGCUAUUGCACUAGCAUUUAUUUGUCUUUUGUUUCUCCAACUUAAGACUUUUAUGUUAAAUUCUGAAUUAUGUUUUUAUCGAGCUUAAACUCUCAACUUCUAGCUCUAUGUUAUUUAACGUUGGUUAUCGGAAGCAUGAAACCGAACUUGUGAUCCUAAGGCUUUGAAUGUUGUUGAUUGAUUAGUAUCACUUGAUUUC